UGAGCCCGAAGGCUUCUGUGACUCAUCUGGGACUCUGACAUUAGGGCCAGGGUCCUUCUCUGCACCCGGGUGCCUGGGCACCCCGAGCUGGUAGGCAUUCCUGUUCUCUCCUGGACGCUUGUCAUUCCUGCAAGCUCGUCACUCCUGCACGCUUUUGUUCUGUGAAGUCAGGAGCACUGACCCUCCUCGGGAGCAGCUCGGAGCAGAUGCUCUUCUCUGCUGAAGGCCCGAGUGGAAACGUGGAGCGGAAACUCUCAAAGCAAAACUACCUUGGCAGCUGAACGUGACUCUGGCGUCCAGGAAGGGGAACUUUGGCGUGAAGUGUCUCCUGAUGGCGGUGUGGCCCAGCCGGGCUGUGCUCCCCCAGCUCCAGUGACGCCUAGCUAACUGGGAGGACCGCCGGGGCGCAGAGGGGAACUGGAGCCCACCGUGGGGGCUGGAGAUACGCGUUCUGCCGUUCCUUGUGCAUCCUCCUCCUCACGGGCUCUUCCAGUCAGAGGUUAAGGACCUCAGCCUGGGCUGGCUGACUCUGGGAGGAACAGGUCUGCUCUGAUUCCCAUCCUCAGAAAGUUCUCCCACUCCUCCUUCCCUCUUCCUUCCUUCCUUUCCUGCUCUUUUGUGAGUCCACCAACGCUGGAUUCAACGCGAACCCAUCUCCAUGGCUGCCUUGACCAUGAACCGCAGGGAAGUGCUGGGUGCACCGUAAGAGUCCCCGUGGAGACUGAAGAUUUUCACACUGUUACUGAUUAAUCAUCAGUGCUGUUUGUGACUUCCAGUCAAGCUUGAGGAAGAAAACUGAAAUGAAAUUGUUCAUACUUUCAGGACUUAAAAAUAGAAAGGGGUAAGAAGCUGCUGACAGUGUUGUAGCUCAAAGACUGGAGCAUCUCAAGGGGAGGGUGGUGGCCUGAGGGCCAGGGGAGGCUCCUGAGGACAGACGCCACCACCCGCCUUCGCCCCCACCUCAGGUUUCUUAUUUAGAAAUUUUAAAAGGAAAUGAAGUUGGUUUUAAAAUCUCAAGGGGGCAAAGAAAGCCUCUGAAGUAGGUGGAUUCUUUCAGUUAAUUUUGUGUGAAAACAGCUGCCUGUCCCAUGCAUAACCUUUUAAAAGUCUCCUUGGAAAAGGAGCUCUUUUGGGGCACCUGGCUAGUUCAGUGGCUUGAGCGUGCAACUCUUGAUCUCAGGGCUGUGGGUUC